ACUCCUACGGGAGGCAGCAGUGAGGAAUAUUGGUCAAUGGACGCAAGUCUGAACCAGCCAUGUCGCGUGCAGGAAGACUGCCCCUAUGGGUUGUAACUGCUUUUUAUACGGGAAGAAAUAUAGCUACGUGUAGUUAUUUGCCGGUACCGUAUGAAUAAGCAUCGGCUAACUCCGUGCCAGCAGCCGCGGUAAUACGGAGGAUGCGAGCGUUAUCCGGAUUCAUUGGUUUAAAGGGUGCGUAGGCGGAAGUAUAAGUCAGGGUGAAAGUUUGUGGCUCAACCAUAAAAUUGCCUUUGAUACUGUAUUUCUUGAGUACAUUUGAGGUAGGCGGAAUGUGUUGUGUAGCGGUGAAAUGCUUAGAUAUAACACAGAACACCGAUUGCGAAGGCAGCUUACUAAACUGUAACUGACGCUGAUGCACGAAAGCGU
rnacentral:rRNA from 1 species